GCACCCAUAGCUCAGCUGGAUAGAGCGCUGCCCUCCGAAGGCAGAGGCCAGAGGUUCGAAUCCUCUUGGGUGCGCCA
rnacentral:tRNA from 52 species